AUACGGAGGGUGCAAGCGUUAUCCGGAUUCAUUGGGUUUAAAGGGUGCGCAGGCGGACUUGUAAGUCAGUGGUGAAAUCCCGGGGCUCAACCUCGGAACUGCCAUUGAUACUGCAAGUCUUGAGUUUGGUUGAAGUGGGCGGAAUGUAGCAUGUAGCUGUGAAAUGCAUAGAUAUGCUACAGAACACCGAUCGCGAAGGCAGCUCACUAAACCAACACUGACGCUCAGGCACGAAAGCGUGCGGAGCGAACAGGAUUAGAAACCCCAGUAGUCC
rnacentral:rRNA from 1 species